UUGACCUCGAAUCAGGUAGGAAUACCCGCUGAACUUAAGCAUAUCAAUAAGCGGAGGAAAAGAAACCAACAGGGAUG
rnacentral:rRNA from 1 species